GACGAACGCUGGCGGCGUGCCUAACACAUGCAAGUCGAACGGGGUAAAGAGCUCGGUUUUUACUUAGUGGCGAACGGGUGAGUAACGCGUGAGAAACCUGCCUUUCAGUGGGGGACAACAGUUGGAAACGACUGCUAAUACCGCAUAACGUAUUUUAGGGGCAUCCCUGAAUAACCAAAGCUUUAUGUGCUGAAAGAUGGUCUCGCGUCUGAUUAGCUAGAUGGCGGGGUAACGGCCCACCAUGGCGACGAUCAGUAGCCGGUCUGAGAGGAUGAACGGCCACAUUGGGACUGAGAUACGGCCCAGACUCCUACGGGAGGCAGCAGUGGGGAAUAUUGCACAAUGGGGGAAACCCUGAUGCAGCGACGCCGCGUGAGUGAAGAAGUAUUUCGGUAUGUAAAGCUCUAUCAGCAGGGAAGAAAAUGACGGUACCUGACUAAGAAGCCCCGGCUAACUACGUG
rnacentral:rRNA from 1 species